AUGGGUCUUACUGCGGUACUAGUGGGUCUAUGGGUCUUACUGCAGUACUAGUGGGUCUAUGGGUCUUACUGCAGUACUAGUGGGUCUAUGGGUCUUACCUUCAGUACUAGUGGGUCUAUGGGUCUUACUGCAGUACUAGUGGGUCUAUGGGUCUUACUGCAGUACUAGUGUGGUUCUACAAUCCAUUGAUCUCAUCCUGAGAUGUUUCAUGAUGAUCUCAGACUGAGGUGAUAUUUCUAAUAAUACUGGGUUGGACAUAGUCACCGCAGAGCGGAGGGCACAACUUGGCUUGUUCAACCGGUUAAUUAAUGUGUGAUAACAGAUAUGUGUGAGAUAUCAGACACUCCUGUGGUUGUGUGUGAUUACUUCAUAGUCUGUGGACUCUAGUGGUUAGUCAGGACUUAGAUACUAACUGACAUGGAACAGAGUCCAUUCCCUGACUACAGUGAAAUAGGCCUACCGCCUACUCCGGAGAUAUGCAUUGGCUUGGGACAGUGAUCCCCAGGAAUCUAUUUAAUUAAUGCACACAGCUUUUUCACUAAUAAAAUGUUGAAAAGACUACAUCACUAUUUAUUGUUACCAAUAUGACCAUUAGAAUAACAAAUUCAAACUGCUGUUUCAUCAUGAUAUCUUGUUGCUGUUAAUCUGCAUUAUAAGGCUGCGUUGAGACAAUGACUUAUUAAAGACCCAAGCCCAGCUCAGUUAAUCCCUACCAUUGUGACGCUGAGUUGUCAUAAUGCUUCAGGCAAAUGUACAUUACACCAGGGGUGUUGGUAGACACAAUGUACGUCACCAAAUAUAUGUCCCUCUAACUGCCUGAAAGCCUCUGUUGAUCCUACAGCUAUUGCCUGCAGUAAUCAUGUGCCUAUGAACCAGAGUUACACUAUUAGCACUAAGGAGGUGUGUCCUAGUAGGAAGACCACUGUUAACACUGAGGAGGUGUGUCCUAGUAGGAAGACCACUGUUAACACUGAGGAGGUGUGUCCUAGUAGGAAGACCACUGUUAACACUGAGGUGGUGUGUCCUCGUAGGAAGACCACUGUUAACACUGAGGAGAUGUGUCCUAGUAGGAAGACCACUGUUAGCACUAAGGAGGUGUGUCCUAGUAGGAAGACCACUGUUAACACUGAGGAGAUGUGUCCUAGUAGGAAGACCACUGAGGUGGUGUGUCCCAGUAGGAAGACCACUGUUAACACUGAGGAGGUGUGUCCUAGUAGGAAGACCACUGAGGUGGUGUGUCCCAGUAGGAAGACCACUGUUAACACUGAGGAGGUGUGUCCUAGUAGGAAGACCACUGUUAACACUGAGGAGGUGUGUCCUAGUAGGAAGACCACUGAGGUGGUGUGUCCCAGUAGGAAGACCACUGUUAACACUGAGGAGGUGUGUCCUAGUAGGAAGACCACUGAGGAGGUGUGUCCUAGUAGGAAGACCACUGAGGUGGUGUGUCCUAGUAGGAAGACCACUGAGGUGGUGUGUCCUAGUAGGAAGACCACUGAGGUGGUGUGUCCUAGUAGGAAGACCACUGUUAACACUGAGGUGGUGUGUCCUAGUAGGAAGACCACUGUUAACACUGAGGAGGUGUGUCCUAGUAGGAAGACCACUGAGGUGGUGUGUCCUAUAGGAAGACCACUUAACACUGAGGAGGUGUGUCCUAGUAGGAAGACCACUGAGGAGGUGUGUCCUAGUAGGAAGACCACUGUUAACACUGAGGAGGUGUGUCCUAGUAGGAAGACCACUGAGGUGGUGUGUCCUAUAGGAAGACCACUGUGUGCAUCUCACCCUGCAUUAAUAAAAAAAAAACACAUGAGUAUGUCUG
ensembl:lncRNA